rnacentral:rRNA from 1 species
GACGAACGCUGGCGGCGUGCUUAACACAUGCAAGUCGAACGGAAAGGUCCUGCUUUUGUGGGGUGCUCGAGUGGCGAACGGGUGAGUAACACGUGAGUAACCUGUCCUUGCCUUUGGGAUAACCUCAGGCAACUGGGGAUAAUACCGGAUAGGAGCCUCUGCUGCAUGGUGGGGGUUGGAAAGUUUCGGCGGGUGGGGAUGGACUCGCGGCUUAUCAGCUUGUUGGUGGGGUAGUGGCUUACCCAGGCUUUGACGGGUAGCCGGCCUGAGAGGGUGACCGGCCACAUUGGGACUGAGAUACGGCCCAGACUCCUACGGGAGGCAGCAGUGGGGAAUAUUGCACAAUGGGCGGAAGCCUGAGGCAGCGACGCCGCGUGCGGGAUGACGGCCUUCUGGUUGUAAACCGCUUUCGCCUGUGACGAAGCGUGAGUGACGGUAAUGGGUAAAGAAGCACCGGCUAACUACGUG